CUUGAUGAAGCUAAUUACUUGAGCCCAGCAACUUAGACAUCUCUUUGCCUUUGAAGAGUAUCCAGAUAUAAAAAAUGGCAUCACUCAAGUCUCAGAAACCUGCCGCCACUCAACCACCUGCACCGGCCCUCAAAGAGGUUUCUGCUACUAAAACUUGCCGGACAUGUACAUCCACCAACACACCCGCACCCACACCAGCAGGCGCCACAUCCGUAGCCUAUCCCACAUCGAAAGCCGCUCCUACCUCCAAGCCAACCUCUGGCAAGAAGGGAGCAAAGGGAAGUAAGCAGCCGAUGAAAAAGUAGAAUAAAUGAGGAAGACAAGGCUUGGGUUUGAAGGAUUCAUCAUCAGAUAAUUAGUCUCAGAUUCUCAAUUCAUGCCAGUCUGCCUCAAUGCUUACUAAUUAUAUUACAGAAGCUGCUUGUCUAUAUAUCCAUCACGUGGACUCCUAAAAUAAAAAUAAAAAUAAAAAUAAAAUAAAAAAUAAAAACUUAGUUCCUAUUCUUAAUAUUAUUGAUGAGUUUGUCUUUGGUCAUCGUGGGAUCCUUUGGAAAAUCAAGGUCAAUUUCUUUGAGGGGACAACCACCACCUAUAUUUCCAAACAAUAUAGUUUUUUUUUUUUUAAUAAUAGAUAUCCUCGUCUUUCGUGACAUGCAGGGUUAUGUGAUAUAUUUCAAGUGGUUGUCAUUUAAGUAGUGAUCGAUAGAAAUAACCACUUGAAAUGUGUCAUAUCAUAAUGUAUGACUAAAAAUGACAAGACGUAAGAUGAAGAAUAAUAUUAAUACUCUAUCAAA